rnacentral:rRNA from 1 species
GAUGAACGCUGGCGGCGUGCCUAAUACAUGCAAGUCGAACGAGGUGCUUGAGUAGCAAUACGAGAGUAUCCUAGUGGCGAACGGGUGAGUAACGCGUUGGUGACCUACCCCAAAGUGUGGGAUAACAGUCCGAAAGGAUUGCUAAUACCGCAUGUGGUUAUCGGAUUUAGAAACUGAUAUCUAAAGGAGCAAUUCGCUUUGGGAGGGACCUGCGUCCCAUCAGCUAGUUGGUGAGGUAAUGGCUCACCAAGGCUACGACGGGUAGGGGACCUGAGAGGGUGACCCCCCACAAUGGAACUGAAACACGGUCCAUACACCUACGGGUGGCAGCAGUAGGGAAUAUUGCUCAAUGGGCGAAAGCCUGAAGCAGCAACGCCGCGUGUGCGAUGAAGGCCUUCGGUCGGUAAGCACUUUCUGAGGGAGUGAGCAAGGAC